UACGGGGGGGGCAAGCGUUGUUCGGAAUCACUGGGCGUAAAGCGCACGUAGGCGGAUGUGUCAGUCAGGGGUGAAAUCCCGGAGCUCAACUUCGGAACUGCCUUUGAUACAGCACGUCUUGAGUCCGGAAGAGGUGGGUGGAAUUCCUAGUGUAGAGGUGAAAUUCGUAGAUAUUAGGAAGAACACCGGUGGCGAAGGCGGCUUCCUGGACCGACACUGACGCUGAGGCGCGAAAGCUAGGGGAGCAAACGGG
rnacentral:rRNA from 1 species